GACGAACGCUGGCGGCGUGCUUAACACAUGCAAGUCGAACGGUGAAGCUCCAGCUUGCUGGAGUGGAUCAGUGGCGAACGGGUGAGUAACACGUGAGCAACCUGCCCCUGACUCUGGAAUAAGCGCUGGAAACGGCGUCUAAUACUGGAUACGAGAAGGGUCCGCAUGGGCACUUUCUGGAAAGUUUUUCGGUUGGGGAUGGGCUCGCGGCCUAUCAGCUUGUUGGUGAGGUAAUGGCUCACCAAGGCGACGACGGGUAGCCGGCCUGAGAGGGCGACCGGCCACACUGGGACUGAGACACGGCCCAGACUCAUACGGGAGGAAGCAGUGGGGAAUAUUGCAAAAUGGGCGAAAGCCUGAUGCAGCGACGCCGCGUGAGGGAUGACGGCCUUCGGGUUGUAAACCUCUUUCAGCAGGGAAGAAGCGAAAGUGACGGUACCUGCAGAAGAAGCACCGGCUAACUACGUG
rnacentral:rRNA from 1 species